CAGGUGUGAUCUGUUGCCUCAGCCAGUGGCACUGAGAGUGCCUUGCUUCUUGUCCAUAACAACACCGUGAAAAGUGAGCAUACAAGUGUUAAGAUUUGAACAUAAAGGAUAUCAAAGGCUUCUAAAGACAAACUAGGGCUACAAAUUAGUAGAAAAGCAGCAGACUGGCUACACAUGAGCUGAGGUCAGUGACAGCCUAUAAACCAGUAAAGAGGAUCUGAGGUAAGAGCCAGAACAGCUUUCAAGCAAGCUUUGCAUUGUCUGGUUUUGACUAAUCUACCAAGAGGUCAAUAGAAACUUUAUGUACUUUAUUAGUAGGAAAUUAAAGUAUCUGUCUUGGAUCACGCUCAACCCAGUGUUUACAGCAGAAGGUUGAUGAAGCUUUCAUUUCACUCUGAUGGCGAAACAUCGUCAUUUUCAAGCAAGAUGGGUGUGGGAUACCUCCCAAGUCUGACCUGUGAUGGUGCUUUACCUUAGGCAAAUGGCCUAAACACUUACCAAAAAGGACUAUUAGCGAGAGCAGACUGAACUGAAGAAAUACAGAUGAUCGGAGUGGGGAACUGCAGGAAUUGCCAUGUCUUAGCAGACCUUACCAGUUUCACUUGCAGGCGUUCACUUGGAUGAAUUUCUUGUCAGAAGACAUGUAAGGAUCAAAGUGUCAGAGACCUGACAGCACGUACAGGUGAUUCAGAAUUGUGUGAGAAGAUAAUCUCAUAAAAUCAUGAGGAGAAAGAACUAAGUGUAGGUCCUGUCAUCCAAAUAACCAUAAAGCUGUCAAUGGAAACUUUGCUUACUGUGCUUCCUGAUAGGAUUGUUUAUGGUUGACCACAUGGUCCAUUUAGUUCAUUACUAUGUCUUGUGCUUGCUUCAUCAGAAGAGCUUGAGAUCAGGGACUAAAGAACACUUGUGCUUUGUGAGAGGAUACACCAUUAAACUUCUUCAAGGCUGACAAGUAAUUUCUAUUAUGGCUGCAUUUAAAUGUUUGUGAAAACUAUUCCCAUUUUCUUAUCAACAAAGCAUCAUCAUCAGCACAUCUCGAGGAUGAAAAUACAUUUGGAAGCAGCCACCACAAGAGCAAUGCAACUGAAAUGUUCUCCUGAGGACAAUAAGCAAGCUCUUUAAAGGUAGCAAUGAUAUGGCAUAAAUGUACUCUCUAAGGACAGAAUAACUGAUGCAUUUCCCUGGGGAUCAUUCUGCUGCAGAAAGCUUACUGUGAAAUGAUAAUGCAAAUAAAGACCAGAAACUCUGUAA